UACGAAGGGGGCUAGCGUUGCUCGGAAUCACUGGGCGUAAAGGGGUGCGUAGGCGGGUCUUUAAGUCAGGGGUGAAAUCCUGGAGCUCAACUCCAGAACUGCCUUUGAUACUGAAGAUCUUGAGUUCGGGAGAGGUGAGUGGAACUGCGAGUGUAGAGGUGAAAUUCGUAGAUAUUCGCAAGAACACCAGUGGCGAAGGCGGCUCACUGGCCCCGAUACUGACGCUGAGGCACGAAAAGCGUGGGGGAGCAA
rnacentral:rRNA from 1 species